UAUGUCUGUGUUAAAUAUACAAGUUGUGGCCAUUUUCACAAGAUUUGAUUGUUUAAAAUUCACAUGGACAAAGUAAGGAUUCUGGGGGACACGAGGUGUGCUCCAGCAAAUAUUUCCUCUGUGGUCCCAUUAAAGAUGGAUUUAAACAUGAAGAGUGUGAGAUGGCAAAAGCAAAGACAUUCUGUACUUAAUCAGAAGUACAGAUAUUAGUGGCAAAACCACUCCAGUAAAAGUAGCUCUUUGGAGGAUUUUUCUACCAGCUAUUUUUGUGCAAAGCUAAUUAAACCUUGUGCUAUAUUAAUGUAUCAUUAAAGUAACAUUAAUACAUAAGAAAAUGACCUUUACUUCUUUAAAUUUUAAUUCUCAUAAAUAUACGCAGCUUGAAUCAGUUUGGUAGAACAUGAGCAGAGAAAAAGACGAAAGAUUUUAAAAUAUCUCUACAUUGUAGAGAGCGACUCUAAACAGAAAAUGAGUAAGGAACGGGUUAAAGUGGGAUUCAGCAGGUGGGGGAACUCUAAAAUUGGUUGUAGUGGCUCAACAAGAGGUUAAGAAUCGCAAUUUCUAUUCAAAGCUUCAGUAAAUUUUCUUUGUGUACAGGCUGUGAUCAGCUGAUCUGGGCUGCUGGUGCUUUGAGGUCCUGAUCUGAAUUAGACAGGUUUCAAGGAUUUCGAGUGCUCAGGCAAAAUAGAAAAGUGCUGUACAAGAACCAGUCCAUUUACCAUUUGGUUUACUAGCUGGCAAAAUGUUGAAAUUGAUCAAAAAAUAUACUUUUCUUUUUCUUCUUGUUGAUCCACAGAUUCAUUGAGAGUAACAAACUAGAGACUACAUCCAAAUAUGCCUUCAGAGGACUCAGGGACCUGACUCAGUUGUAUGUUCCAGUGACUGAAAAUACAACUGUUAUCUGUUAUACAUGAUUUAAUGAUGUCUCUUUUUCAUAAUCAACUGCAUUUGUUGACACAUUCAGCUAUAAGAAUGAUGUCUACGUGGCCAUUUCUGCUCCCAGCACAGAGAGCUGUAUGAUUUUCCAGUGGGACCACAUAGAAAUGAACUUCAGGACUUAUGAUAACAUCACAGUGAUGGCAGCAGCAGCGUUCAGGAGCAGAGGACUGGCUGGUGUCAGAAACACCAACGUUUUAAUCCUCAUCUUUCUGCUGUCCCUGGUUUAUGUCACAAAUUCACUGAUGAAAGUAAGAACAAAGUCACUGCUGAAUUAACUGUUGCUGAAGGUACUUCUAUGAAACAUUUAUUUGCAAAUGUAAAACUACAGUCACUAUGUAACUCAUUAUAAGCAUAUCAGAGUUUAAACGGACGCAUCCUGUUUUUGUAAAUUUAAAAACAUUCUGACAAGUUUCUUAGAACAACUUAGGAAAUCAGAAAAAGCAAAAGCAGCCAGAAGGAAGGCGGGUCAGUCAGUUUCAUCUCUAUUGCAUGUUAUCAGUCAAAUUUGGUCAUGUAGGAAACAACAAAUGCGUAUGAGUCAUAUCAGUGCACACUAAGAGAACUGCAACUCAGUCUGACUGUAGAAGUAAGUUUGACUUAUAUCCCCAUUAAGUUAUUCAUAUGUAACUUUAUUAAAUUAAUUUGGUACAUGUUGUGGUAAACAGAGAAUGUCUUUUGCUUUUCUGAAAUUGCCCAAUAAUUCAUUAAUGUUCGAUUAUAUUUUUAAACAUUAUACAUGUGUAUGUAAUUUGUAUGUAACUGUAUCAUGUGAAGAUUUUCUCUUGCGCUUCUUCGUCAAGCCCUAAAGUUAAAAUAAAUCAGAGCUGAUGCUUCUUGUACAAACUGUAGCAUCCUCCCCCGCCCACUUACAAUGGA